AGCGCCCCAUGCAUGUUGCUAGGUAGCUUGCUAUCUACCUAGCAACACGCACAACUAGCCAGCCAGCGAGCAGGUGAACGGGGAGGGCCUUUGCGGAGGCUUGGAUGAGCGGGGCUUGGACGAGCGGUGUUUUACUGUUUGUACUGUAUGUGCUGAGAAUGCCUGUUUGAAUUGCUGGGGCCUAAGAUUUCCAAACAAUAUCUAGGCCUCCACCUCUGUGGCUCUAAUAGAGAAAGAAAAUGGGAAGGCCUUGCCAGAAGGCUCUGUGAGGUAAAUGGAUUGAACCAACUGAGACUGGCCUCUAGGGGGGUUUUAAAGCUCCACUCCAAAACUAAUACAAAUGGAGGAAUCUAGGAGAGGAAAAGGCAGAGCCAAGACUUCACAACCCCUGUGGUGUUUGUUUUGCUGUCUGGGCUCCUUUUCAGAAGAUUUCACCUCACUUUCUGCCUCUGUGAUAAUUGAAUUUUGAAAAAUUUGGCUUUCUGUGAAAACAAGGAUUGGUAAUAAAGCUUCAGUUGAGCCCCCUUUUCCCCAGGAUAACUCUUUCAGAGUGAAUUUCCCUUCUUAGGGAAGCUGGCCACUUCCGUGUGCCUCGGGUGUGGCUGUAAGAAGGUCCUCCAUUGUGCAUGUGGCAGGGCUCAGGCUGCAUUUGAGGUUGGCAGAGGCUGGAGCUAAUAGCAGAAGCUCACCCCACUCCCUGGAUUCGAACGACCAACCUUUCAGUCAGCAAGUUCAUCAGCUCAGCUAUUUAAUCUGCUGCACCAUCAGGAGCUCCAAAGUUUGCCAUAAGAUCAUCAAAAGUAAUAAAAGGCUUGAAGGUAAACAGCAACAAGACACUUUUGAGUCCCAGACUGGAGAAUUAAUAAAUUAAUAACAGUGAGUAUCAGAAGAAACAUAAUGUAAUAAAAAUAAAAGACCCCUUGGGAUUCCAAAGGUUUUGGAUUACCAUUCCCAGAGUAUCUAAUCAUUGUCUGUGUUGACUACAGUUGACAUCCAAAACAUCUGGAGAGUCAAAGUUUUUUUACCCUAAUGAUAUAUUUUGUUGGUGUCACUGUUAGAAGUUUUCACAUCUUUCUGUUCUUCAGACUUCAAGUGUUAAAACAAUAUUAAUCUGAGUUUGAACAGCGGAGGUUAUUAUUUCGUUGUUUCUUGGCUGUGUUUCUGCAUGACGGGGACUGAAUGAAAUGUGGCAUGUCAACUUUGUUCAGCUACCAGCAUGCCUUUGAUCUGCUCCAAAAAAGUGAAUGUUUAUUUCCACAUUCAAAGACUGCUUUGUGGGCUGCAGCAUGUCACUCAUGUCAAAUAUAAUUUCAGCUGCUUCAAAAAUAAAGCUUUUGGAGGCAGUGCUUGUUUUAAUUCAAA